GACGAACGCUGGCGGCGUGCUUAACACAUGCAAGUCGAACGGAAAGGCCCUGCUUUUGUGGGGUGCUCGAGUGGCGAACGGGUGAGUAACACGUGAGUAACCUGCCCUUGACUUUGGGAUAACUUCAGGAAACUGGGGCUAAUACCGGAUAGGAGCUCCUGCUGCAUGGUGGGGGUUGGAAAGUUUCGGCGGUUGGGGAUGGACUCGCGGCUUAUCAGCUUGUCGGUGGGGUAGUGGCUUACCAAGGCUUUGACGGGUAGCCGGCCUGAGAGGGUGACCGGCCACAUUGGGACGGAGAUACGGCCCAGACUCCUACGGGAGGCAGCAGUGGGGAAUAUUGCACAAUGGGCGGAAGCCUGAUGCAGCAACGCCGCGUGCGGGAUGACGGCCUUCGGGUUGUAAACCGCUUUCGCCUGUGACGAAGCGUGAGUGACGGUAAUGGGUAAAGAAGCACCGGGUAACUACGUG
rnacentral:rRNA from 1 species